rnacentral:rRNA from 1 species
AACGAACGCUGGCGGCAGGCCUAACACAUGCAAGUCGAACGAACCUUCGGGUGAGUGGCGCACGGGUGCGUAACGCGUGGGAAUGUACCCCUAGGUGAGGAAUAACGUAGAGAAAUUUGCGCUAAUACCUCAUAAUAACUUCGGUUCAAAGAUUUAUCGCCUAGGGAUCAGCCCGCGUCAGAUUAGAUAGUUGGUGAGGUAACGGCUCACCAAGUCGACGAUCUGUAGGGGGUCUGAGAGGAUGAUCCCCCACACUGGUACUGAGACACGGACCAGACUCCUACGGGAGGCAGCAGUGAGGAAUAUUGGACAAUGGAGGCAACUCUGAUCCAGCCAUGCCGCGUGAGUGAAGACGGCCUUAGGGUUGUAAAGCUCUUUCAAUUGCGAAGAUAAUGACGGUAACAAUAGAAGAAGCUCCGGCUAAAUUCGUGCCAGCCGCCGCCGUAACAC